CCUACGGGUGGCAGCAGUCGAGAAUCAUUCACAAUGGGGGAAACCCUGAUGGUGCGACGCCGCGUGGGGGAAUGAAGGUCUUCGGAUUGUAAACCCCUGUCAUGUGGGAGCAAAUUAAAAAGAUAGUACCACAAGAGGAAGAGACGGCUAACUCUGUGCCAGCAGCCGCGGUAAUACAGAGGUCUCAAGCGUUGUUCGGAAUCACUGGGCGUAAAGCGUGCGUAGGCUGUUUCGUAAGUCGUGUGUGAAAGGCGCGGGCUCAACCCGCGGACGGCACAUGAUACUGCGAGACUAGAGGAAUGUAUGGGGAACCGGAAUUCUCGGUGUAGCAGUGAAAUGCGUAGAUAUCGAGAGGAACACUCGUGGCGAAGGCGGGUUCCUGGACAUUAACUGACGCUGAGGCACGAAGGCCAGGGGAGCGAAAGGGAUUAGAUACCCGAGUAGUC
rnacentral:rRNA from 1 species